rnacentral:misc_RNA from 1 species
UCAAUAUUGACAACUGGAGCAUAUUUAUCCGUCUCUGUCUUUUCCUUAUCGAGAAGAAAGUAGACCCUAGGAUCAACUUUGGAAGUUUCAUGCCAUGAUUUUACAGCUUUCUCCAUUGUCUCAACAAGGAAAGAGAACAUUUCUUUCCAACAUUCUUCAGAUCCAAUCUUUUCAGACAUUUCAGAUUUCAAUGUAUCCAAGUGCUUCGCCA